AACCUUUGCUGUCUUGGAACAGAUCACCACUGCAAGAGGGGAAGUUGCUACUGUGAUGAAUUCUGCCAUGUGGUACCAGACUGCUACCCAGACCACAGUGUCCUCUGCAACCCUCCUUCUCAGAUGACCAAGAUGGUGCUGCAGAUGGUGCUGAGGAUGGAGAACCCACCAAGCCCCGCUAGGAGCCACCUAGACUGGAUGUAGAGCAUGUUUUAUUUGCUUCCAAGAAGGAAGGCAAGAUUUCCUGGGUCCGUGAUGAUGGAAGGCUGACAACUCUUUUAUGGAGUUUGAGCUUGCUCCCAGCAGGGAAGACAAGUUCGAGUUUUUUUCCUGCUUCAAGGAUGGUAGAGAGCAGUCUUCAGCCUGAGACCCAUCCCUAGAUUUGAAGAUUGUACCAGGAGAGCCGCAGUGUUCCAGAGCUACCGAGGGGCUGGGCCGGGAUUUGCUGUAUUUGAGAAGACCCCCCUGGACCCGAGAGGCUGUGGGCUUGGGGAGCAUGAGGAGGUUUCACAGCAGAAAGGACACCCCGGGGCUCCUGGAUCGGAAAAUGUGCCAGGGGAAAUCGGGCUCCAAGGGCACCACUCUGGG
rnacentral:lncRNA from 1 species